UUGAUCUUUUGUCGUCGUAAAAUUUUGCAAAAUUUUAGCAAAACGAUCGAAUAUCGAUUAAUUUUUCAUUGUUAUAAAUAGAACCCUCUUGCGCGAUUAAUCUUAUAUUAUCGAUAAUUUCAAAAAUUUCAUCGGUGCAAAACAAAUUUUCAUUCGUAACAACGAUUUGGUAACGAAAUAUAUGAAGUAAAUAUAGAAAAUAAUAAAUUAUAGAAAAUUAGAAUUGACAAAUUAUCGUGCGAGAGAGUUCAAAUAUCAAUUUAUGAGUUACGAUCUUUUCUUCCGCUAAAUCAUAUAU